CAGUAGCCGCGGUAAUACGAAGGGGGCUAGCGUUGUUCGGAGUUACUGGGCGUAAAGCGCACGUAGGCGGAUAUUUAAGUCAGGGGUGAAAUCCCAGAGCUCAACUCUGGAACUGCCUUUGAUACUGGGUAUCUUGAGUAUGGAAGAGGUUAGUGGAAUUGCGAGUGUAGAGGUGAAAUUCGUAGAUAUUCGCAGGAACACCAGUGGCGAAGGCGGCUAACUGGUCCAUAACUGACGCUGAGGUGCGAAAGCGUGGGGAGCAAAUAGGAUUAGAUACCCCGGUAGUCCCUGUCUCUUAUAC
rnacentral:rRNA from 1 species